rnacentral:rRNA from 1 species
GACGAACGCUGGCGGCGUGCUUAACACAUGCAAGUCGAACGGUGAAGCGCCUUCCUUUUUGGUGGGUGUGGAUGAGUGGCGAACGGGUGAGUAACACGUGAGUAACCUGCCCCCUUCUUCUGGAUAACCGCAUGAAAGUGUGGCUAAUACGGGAUAUUCUGGGUCUGUCGCAUGAUGGGUCUGGGAAAGAUAUUGUUUCGGUGGGGGAUGGGCUCGCGGCCUAUCAGCUUGUUGGUGGGGUGAUGGCCUACCAAGGCGGUGACGGGUAGCCGGCCUGAGAGGGUGGACGGUCACACUGGGACUGAGACACGGCCCAGACUCCUACGGGAGGCAGAAGUGGGGAAUAUUGCACAAUGGGCGAAAGCCUGAUGCAGCGACGCCGCGUGAGGGAUGGAGGCCUUCGGGUUGUGAACCUCUUUCGCCAGUGAAGCAGGCCUGCCUCGUUUGUGGGUGGGUUGACGGUAGCUGGAUAAGAAGCGCCGGCUAACUACGUG